rnacentral:rRNA from 1 species
GACGAACGCUGGCGGCGUGCUUAACACAUGCAAGUCGAACGGAAAGGCCCUGCUUUUGUGGGGUGCUCGAGUGGCGAACGGGUGAGUAACACGUGAGUAACCUGCCCUUGACUUUGGGAUAACUUCUGGAAACUGGGGCUAAUACCGGAUAGGAGCUCCUGCUGCAUGGUGGUGGUUGGAAAGUUUCGGCGGUUGGGGAUGGACUCGCGGCUUAUCAGCUUGUUGGUGGGGUAGUGGCUUACCAAGGCUUUGACGGGUAGCCGGCCUGAGAGGGUGACCGGCCACAUUGGGACUGAGACACGGCCCAGACUCCUACGGGAGGCAGCAGUGGGGAAUAUUGCACAAUGGGCGGAAGCCUGAUGCAGCAACGCCGCGUGCGGGAUGACGGCCUUCGGGUUGUAAACCGCUUUCGCCUGUGACGAAGCGUGAGUGACGGUAAUGGCUAAAGAAGCACCGGCUAACUACGUG